rnacentral:rRNA from 1 species
UACGUAGGGUGCGAGCGUUGUCCGGAAUUAUUGGGCGUAAAGAGCGUGUAGGCGGUCUGUCGCGUCUGCUGUGAAAAUCCGGGGCUCAACCCCGGACUUGCAGUGGGUACGGGCAGACUAGAGUGUGGUAGGGGAGACUGGAAUUCCUGGUGUAGCGGUGAAAUGCGCAGAUAUCAGGAGGAACACCGAUGGCGAAGGCGGCAUCCUGGACCAAUACUGACGCUGAGGCGCGAAAGCUAGGGGAGCAAACGGG